rnacentral:rRNA from 1 species
UCGUUCGUUGUGUUGGCGAAUAGGCGUAGUAACAGAGGGUUCGAUUAUGGCUCAGAUUGAACGCUGGCGGGAUGCUUUACAUGCAAGUCGAACGGCAGCACGGACUUCGGUCUGGUGGCGAGUAGCGAGCGGGUGAGUAAUAGGAACGUGCCCUGGUGGCGGGGGAUAACUACGCGAAAGCGCCAGCUAAUACCGCAUACGCUGUCGAGGGGAAAGCGGGGGGACCUUCGGGCCUCGCACUAUUAGAAACGGCCGAUAUCGGAUUAGCUAGUUGGUGGAGUAACGGCUCACCAAGGCGACGAUCCGUAGCUGGUUUGAAGGACGACAAAGCCACACUGGGACUGAGACACGGCCCAGACUCCUACGAAUAGCAGUGGGGCCUGGACAAUGGGGAAACCCUGAUCCAGCCAUCCCGCGUAUUGAUGAAGCCUUCGGGUUGUCAACACUUUGGCGGGAAAGAAACGGCACGGGAUAAUACCCCAUUCGGCGAAAAUGACGUACCUGCAGAAUAAGCACCGGCUAACUACGUGCCAGCAGCCGCGGCAAUACGUAGGGCCGCAAGCGUUAAUCAAAUUACUGGGCGUAAAGCGUGGGCGGUUCGGAAAGAAGAUGAAAUCCCAGAGCUUAACUUUGGAACUGCAUUUUUAACUACCGAGCACAAGUGUAAUCAGAGGAGGUGGGUCCGCGAUGUAGCAGUGAGAAAUGCGUAGAUAUGCCGGAGGAACACAGAUGGCGAAGGCGGCCUCCUGGGAUAACACUGACGCUCUUUUUGCGAAAGCGUGAGGGAGCAAACAGGAUUAGAUGCCUAGUGGCGGUACGCCUAAACGAUGUCAACUAGCUGUUGGGGCCUUCGGGCCUUGGUGGCGCAACUAACGCGUGAGUUGACCGCCUGGAGUGCAGUGCAGAUUAAAGACUCAAAGGAAUUGACGGGGACCCGCACAAGCGGUGGAUGAUGUGGAUUAAUUCGAUGCAACGCGAAAAACCUUACCUACCCUUGACAUGUCUGGAAUCCCGAAGAGAUUUGGGAGUGCUCGCAAGAGAACCGGAACACAGGUGCUGCAUGGCUGUCGUCAGCUCGUGUCGUGAGAUGUUGGGUUAAGUCCCGCAACGAGCGCAACCCUUGUCAUUGAGUGCUACGAAGAACUCUAAUGGGAAGCUGCCGGUGACAAACGGAGGAAGGUGGGGAUGACGUCAGUCCUCAUGACCCUUAUGGGUGAGACUUCACACGUCAUACAAUGGUCGGGACAGAGGGUCGCCAACCCGCGAGGAGCCAAUCUGAAGCCCGAUCGUAGUCCGGAUCGCAGUCUGCAACUCGACUGCGUGAAGUCGGAAUCGCUGGUAAUCGCGGAUCCAGCAUGUCGCGGUGAAUACGUUCCCGGGUCUUGUACCCCGCACCGCCCGUCACACCAUGGGAGUGGGUUUUACCAGAAGUAGUUAGCCUAACCGUAAGGAGGGCGAUUACCACGGUAGGAUUCAUGACUGGGGUGAAGUCGUAACAAGGUAG